AAAGAGUUAUGAACCAAAUUAUUUUUUAAAGAUACAUGUGGGCUAAACUCUAAAACUAUAUCACCUCCUAGGUCUAGACAAUGGAAUCAUCUCCCACUGGACAAGGUGAAUAUCCAGUUCUCUUAAAUCAUUUAAGAUGAAUCUGGACAAAACACCAGAGAACAUCUAUCAUCACCGGGACUUACGACUGGACAAAGUUUCCGUCAAUGAAACUUAAGGAGAAUGGCCAGAUGACUACAAUCAAAUAUACAUCACGAAGGAAGACUGAGGAAAACAAGAAGUUGGAAAAAAAAGAGGGGGAGGAGGAGGACCUUAGGAAAGAGGCAUUCCCCUCCCCACCCCCUGCCCUGUAAAGAGGGAUAUAAUCAAAAGAGACAGAAUUACCACCAGCAGGAAGGCAGUAUGGUGUCGAGGAAAAAACUGGAGCUCUGGAGUCAAGAGAUGUGAAUCUGAGUCCCCCACUUCAUCCUUACUGAUUGUGUGACCCUGGGCAAAUAAGUCAUUUUUUGUCACUGAGCCUCCAUUUUUUUGUUUUUUGUUUGUUUUUUUUUGUUUUUUUUUUUUGUUUGUU
rnacentral:lncRNA from 1 species